CCUUUUUUGUUCACAGUGAUUGGAGAGCAGUUUCAUUUAACUUCGAUAUGUGACAGUGAAAACGAUUGCGGCUGUAUCAACAUCGAUGAAGGAGUUCCCGUGAUCGGAAUGGAGUACAAACUGUCUCAGGUGUUGCAGUUCUCUUGGUCAUCAUUGAAAAAGUCAGGUAUAAAUAAACAUUGACAAAGAAAUAAUCUUUCCAUCGACUAUCAAAUUAUCUUUUUCAGGAAUACUUUACUGACUUUAAAGAUUUAUUGAACUGUGUUUAAUGUAACAGGGUCUAACUUACCAAGAGAUUGCUAAAAUUCCCUUAGGAGAAGGAUCUAAGAGACGUGGUCAGGUCCUGGAGGUUAAUGGGGAGAAAGCAAUUGGCCAGGUUAAUGAUUCUUAUGUUUUACUUUAACUUUAUGUAUGGUGUGGAGUCACGGGUGCCUUCUAAUGUUAAUCCUAAUUUGGCUGCAGGUAGAGGAGUUCCAAAGGUUAACAUAACAAAAACUGCAUUGUUGAUUGUUAUCAAUCAUUCACCAUGGUUGGUAUCUACCAUUACCCUUAAUAAAGUAGCUGUUUCUGUUGAAAGCGUUGAAGCCAAACUAUGGCAAAUCAGAUUUGUCUUCCCCUCCAUAAUGGCUUUGUAUUUCGUUAUGUUACUGUGAGAAACUAUGGAUAAUAUAAGUGGCUACCAAGUCCUCUACCCAACACUACGAUUUGAGUCAUAAGUAGUUUGUGAAUCUUUAAGAAAGGAUAAGACAUUCUGACAAUAGCUUUAGGCAAUCUUAGGACCAUUGCCAUUAUCCAAGUUUCUUAAUUUUGAAUUCUUGGCUGAUGGUUUCUUUUAGCUUAGCAAGUUUAGAUUCUAAUUUUUUGUCUAGGUUGUUUAGCUGGUUUAUGGCCAACUGAACCGGUCAUUGGCAUAACAAGAUGAAACAUUGGCCUCCAAAGUUUUAUCAUUUGUCCUCCAGAUUGUUUAACAAAGAUAUAUGUUUUGAUUAUUUAGUAACUGUUUCAAGUUCCAUAAAUCUCAGGACUGACCCCUUCUUAUGGCAUCACGUCGUUUUGGUGAUAUUCUUGCUGUGAAUCCUUUUCAAUAACCUGUGUUGCAGUUUUAGUUUAUAUGUUUCGUGACACAGGAAUUUCCAAUUCACAAGAUAUAGUUAGGCUUGGCUACACGAAUCCAUGUCAAUCGUUGACCCUGAUGAAUUGCUGUUUCACAGGUACCAGAGACGCUUCCAGAAGAAGCACUCUCUAAGAUGAGCACACUACCAAAGAGUGAAUCACCAAUCAUCACACCUGACGAACUAACUGAAGCUGAUGGGUUCGUCUUUGGAUUCCCAACAAGGUACGGCAUGAUGGCUGCUCAGUUCAAAGUCUUCUUGGACACUACCGGUGGACUCCGGAGAACUCAGUCACUUGCUGGUAAACCAGCUGGAUCUUCUACAGCACUGGCUCUCAAGGUGGUAGCCAAGAAACCACUGCGUAAGUUCCCAUGAAACCACGAGAGUCAUGUAUGAGCCGUAGUUUGUCAAUAAUAAAGUAGAUGUUUUUUUCU